rnacentral:rRNA from 1 species
GACGAACGCUGGCGGCGUGCUUAACACAUGCAAGUCGAACGGAAAGGCCCUGCUUUUGUGGGGUGCUCGAGUGGCGAACGGGUGAGUAACACGUGAGUAACCUGCCCUUGACUUUGGGAUAACUUCAGGAAACUGGGGCUAAUACCGGAUAGGAGCUCCUGCUGCAUGGUGGGGGUUGGAAAGUUUCGGCGGUUGGGGAUGGACUCGCGGCUUAUCAGCUUGUUGGUGGGGUAGUGGCUGACCAAGGCUUUGACGGGUAGCCGGCCUGAGAGGGUGACCGGCCACAUUGGGACUGAGAUGCGGCCCAGCCUCCUACGGGAGGCAGCAGUGGGGAAUAUUGCACAAUGGGCGGAAGCCUGAUGAAGCACCGCCGCGUGCGGGAUGACGGCCUUCCGGUUGUAAACCGCUUUCGCCUGUGACGAAGCGUGAGUGACGGUAAUGGGUAAAGAAGCCCCGGCUAACUACGUG